GGUUUGAUCAUGGCUCAGAUUGAACGCUGGCGGCAUGCCUUACACAUGCAAGUCGAACGGUAACGGGUCCUUCGGGAGUGCCGACGAGUGGCGAACGGGUGAGUAAUAUAUCGGAACGUGCCCAGUAGUGGGGAGUAACUGCUCGAAAGAGCAGCUAAUACCGCAUACGACCUGAGGGUGAAAGGGGGGAGUCGCAAGACCUCUCGCUAUUGGAGCGGCCGAUAUCAGAUUAGCUAGUUGGUGGGGUAAAGGCCUACCAAGGCAACGAUCUGUAGUUGGUCUGAGAGGACGACCAGCCACACUGGGACUGAGACACGGCCCAGACUCCUACGGGAGGCAGCAGUGGGGAAGUUUUGGACAAUGGGC
rnacentral:rRNA from 1 species